CUGAAUCUGACGUGGAAGAGAGAAGGAGUCCCUAUUCUAGAGAAACACAGACACUCUUUCAGUGAGAGAAACCAAACUCUACACAUCGACAACAUAACCAGCUCUGAUUACGGCACGUACAGCUGUAUUGCUACAAACUCAUACGGACAGUCAGAAAAGCACAUAUGUAUUACUGGUGAGAAUGGGGCUAAAGGUCAAACUCAGUCUGAUCAGAUUGUGCUUUCCAGUGGACUUGCGCUCACAGGUGUUUUGGGACUGUGCAUCGUGUUCUGCUGCCUUUACAAAUAUCAUCACAGUGAUGCAGACCAUGUCCAUGGAAUUUAUCAGGAAGUACCUGACUCUGAAGAGGUGACUUCUCUGUUGUACGUCAACACAGACUUCAUUAAACCAAAAGAUAGCAGUCAGGCCUCGGCUGCAGCUCUGCGCGCUCAGGUCUCUGGUUACUCUGAGGUGGGACUCACAAGCGGAGAAGAAACUGUCGCCCGGCACUGGCUCAUUAAUGAUCAGUCCACGUCGCGUUCUGAUGCUGGAGAGGACAAAUUAUGUUCUACAAUAUUACAUUAAAUAAUAAACAAAAUGCUUUUCAUAAUCUGCAAA